rnacentral:lncRNA from 1 species
CAUACAUUUACCUUUUACUACUUAUGAGCAUUGAGUGUGGUCAAGCUGUGUAGACCCUUAGGAGCUUGUCAUGUGGUUCAAAUCAAGAUUAACUUGCACGUUCACUCAUGCAUGCUACUUCUACUCCGGAAGUACUCAUCCAUAUACAUCCUCUCACUUCCAUCUCCAAAUUCACCAAAAGUUAUUCUACUCCUAUCCAGGUGAGAAUAGCCAAAAACAUUCUCCUAUUUCUGUUUUUCCCUAUGAAAUAAAUGCUUGAGUUAUCUUGGUUACUACCACUUGCUAUAUUAUUUCAGGAGAUGAGUGCUCUAAAAAAAGAAAAAGAAAGAGAGAGAAAGGAUACGAGGGAAUAAAAAGGGGCAAGUGCCCGGAACCUCGAAAGAAAAGAAAAAGUGAGACGAGAGGUAAAAAUGGACAAGUGUCCGAUAGUAGAAUUAGGGGUACAAGAUACCCACCUGAGAGGAAAGAAAAAGAAAAUAUAGAGCAUCUCAUUCUCCUCAGAAAGUUUCAAAAGAGCAAGAAAGGUAUGUAUCCAAUUAAAAGAGCAAAAAGUAGAAUUAGACUUUCACCAUUGUUAUCACCAUCAUAACCAUACACCAUUCACUCGCCACACAUGCACAUCUUGAUUUGACUUAUUGACUUGUUUGUCUAGAUCCAUGGUUUGACUAUGCAAUAAAUGUCUUGUAAGUAUGUAUUAUCUGUCUCCCACCUAUGAGCUCUAGAUUUCAAAACCUUUUUAGAGUAGGGUGAGAGAGAAGGCAAUAUCACUAUACCUCAUACCAAAAAUACCACAUACUCUGAGAGAAAGCAUAUACCAUUACUGCCUUGGAAAGGAUCUAGAAAUACCACAAAAGAGAGAUUUGAGAGAGUCAUACAAGGAAUCUCUGUGUUUUUUUUAAAAUCUACAAAAACUCCAGAGCUAUAGUUAAUCAAAGAACAAGAGACAUGGCGCUUGACUUGACCGUUCUAUCUUUUAACUGCUCAUGACACAAGUGACAGUUGCAAGCCCCAUGGUGAAAGAUAAAAUGAGUAAGUUUUAAAUCUUAACAGUUUACUCUAACUCAGAGAUGAGAUCUUGCUUGAACGCAUGUGUACUUUUAAGGCAUGAAACCACUGCAGAAACUCUUGAGUUCAUCCUGGCUCAGGGACGAGCAAGAGGUAAGAUUGGGGAGUUGUUGACGGUCCUUAAGUACCAAAUAUAAUCAUCAAAUAAAUAAAGAAAAGGAUCCAAAUGCAACCAACACCC